rnacentral:rRNA from 1 species
GACGUAGGAGGCGAGCGUUAUCCGGAUUCAUUGGGCGUAAAGGGCAAGUAGGCGGUAGCUCAAGUUGGACGUGACAGUUCUCGGCUUAACUGAGAGAGGACGUUCAAAACUAGGUUACUAGAGGGCAGAAGAGGGAGGCGGAAUUCCUAAUGUAGCGGUGGAAUGCUCAGAUAUUAGGAAGAACACCAGUGGCGAAGGCGGCCUCCUGGUCUGGCCCUGACGCUGAGAGGCGAAAGCUAGGGGAGCAAACGGGAUUAGAUACCCCGGUA